GAUGGCUCCAGGCUGGGAAAACAAAUCUCUCUCUCUCUCUGUCACACACACAUACACACACACACACACACUCACACACACACACACACACACUCAUCGCCUGCGUCUUAGGAAAACAUGGGCACUGUGGACUCUGUCCUCGAAGUGAUCGCAUGGGAAAUUAACAUCGUGCCAAAAAACACGCACAAAGAGAACUGGACCAAUACUCCAACUCUAUAAUUCUUCCAUUUGCUUUUCUUCUGUGGUGUCACAGUUUCAAGAGACCAGGGUUUCGAGGAUAUGGACUAUUUACCUGCUGUUACUUGGAACUAGGAAGACGUUUCACAUGAAAAAUUACUGAAAUAAGAAAAAAAAAAAUCAGGAUGCCCA